AGUGAACGCUGGCGGUAGGCCUAACACAUGCAAGUCGAACGGCAGCACAGUAAGAGCUUGCUCUUACGGGUGGCGAGUGGCGGACGGGUGAGGAAUACAUCGGAAUCUACUUUUUCGUGGGGGAUAACGUAGGGAAACUUACGCUAAUACCGCAUACGACCUACGGGUGAAAGCAGGGGAUCUUCGGACCUUGCGCGAUUGAAUGAGCCGAUGUCGGAUUAGCUAGUUGGCGGGGUAAAGGCCCACCAAGGCGACGAUCCGUAGCUGGUCUGAGAGGAUGAUCAGCCACACUGGAACUGAGACACGGUCCAGACUCCUACGGGAGGCAACAGUGGGGAAUAUUGGACAAUGGGCGCAAGCCUGAUCCAGCCAUACCGCGUGGGUGAAGAAGGCCUUCGGGUUGUAAAGCCCUUUUGCCGGGAAAGAAAAGCAGCAGGUUAAUACCCCGCUGUUCUGACGGUACCCAAAGAAUAAGCACCGGCUAACUUCGUG
rnacentral:rRNA from 1 species